rnacentral:rRNA from 6 species
UUUCAACAACGGAUCUCUUGGUUCUGGCAUCGAUGAAGAACGCAGCGAAAUGCGAUAAGUAGUGUGAAUUGCAGAAUUCAGUGAAUCAUCGAAUCUUUGAACGCACAUUGCGCCCCUUGGUAUUCCAUGGGGCAUGCCUGUUCGAGCGUCAUUUGUA